CUCGGCAUCUGGAGGGGAGGGAGGCGCUGGAGGAGCAGGAGAAACAAGCAGCCACCGAGAAGACGAAGGAAAACACGUCGCAGUGAAUACGUGAACGUACGUGAACACAGGCGAGGAAGCCGCCGGCCUAAUAAAACCCCUUUUGAUUGGUUGAGGCCCAAGACUUCUAUCAUCAUCAUCGUCAUCAUGGAUGUUCCCCAACCUGGAGGUCCUCGUAGCCCAUAGCUCUCUACGAGACACAGCCACAGACAGACAGGUAUGAGGAGAGAAACCAGACCCGCACUCCUGUUCCCGUGGGAGGGUGUUGACCGCUCUGCGGCUGGCAGUGUCCUCAUGGCCUCCAGCUGCGGUCCACGUUCCACACCAG
ensembl:lncRNA